rnacentral:rRNA from 1 species
GUGGGGAAUAUUGGACAAUGGGCGCAAGCCUGAUCCAGCCAUGCCGCGUGAGUGAUGAAGGCCUUAGGGUUGUAAAGCUCUUUCACCGAUGAAGAUAAUGACGGUAGUCGGAGAAGAAGCCCCGGCUAACUUCGUGCCAGCAGCCGCGGUAAUACGAAGGGGGCUAGCGUUGUUCGGAUUUACUGGGCGUAAAGCGCACGUAGGCGGUUUGUUAAGUCAGGGGUGAAAUCCCGGAGCUCAACUCCGGAACUGCCUUUGAUACUGGCAAGCUAGAGUCCGGAAGAGGUAAGUGGAAUUCCGAGUGUAGAGGUGAAAUUCGUAGAUAUUCGGAGGAACACCAGUGGCGAAGGCGGCUUACUGGUCCAUUACUGACGCUGAGGUGCGAAAGCGUGGGGAGCAAACAGGAUUAGAAACCCCAGUAGUCC